ensembl:lncRNA
GACACUACGCAGGUCCAGUUUGGAGAAGAAGUGAGCGCCCUGCAGCUGUUCCAGUGCAGAUGGGACCAGGGAAAGUGGAUAACGGUACUUUUCACAGCUUGGGAAAGGGCUCUGUAAUCGAUACACCUCGGCUUGUCCAAAUACCUCCUUGAUAUGGUUUAUGAAAGCAUCCAGAAAUUGUGUGACCAUGGCAUCGGAUUCCCACAGCAUUGUCGCCCACUGCAGAGCCCUACCGGACAAGAGAGAUAUAAUAUAGGCAAUUUUAGAUCAUUCAGAUGGGAACUGGUGAGGCUGCAUCUAAAAAUACAGCGAGCAUUACAAGAUUAACCCACUGCAAUCCUCCGCCAUGCCAGAGAACGUUGCUGGUUGGGCCAUAGGAUGCAACGAUGAAGCCGAUGAGGAAGUAGCGGGUUGCAGCAAUUGAUGAAGAAGGUAUACCACUUUGGCAAGGGGUUCAGUUUUGGGGUUAGGAGUGGCACCGCUCUCCAUGUUAAACUUGCAGUCUGGUCUUUUGUCACACACACACAGAAGAGAAGACUCACAGAACCAUUCAAGAUGUUCAUUGACAACUGGAAACUGCUGAGUAACUUAAAUUGGAAACAGUUAGUGUGCUUAUCUCUUGCAUGUUGGUGCUGGAAGCGGUCAAUAGAGAAAGAAGACAGAUGUGAUGAUAUUCCACAAAGGAUAACAGAAAAUGCAGAAUUAUCAACACUUGAGAGCAAUAUCUGUGUAGUUCCAGCUCCAGCUCCUCUCCCUACAUCCAGUCUUUCUCACUGCACUCUAAUUCAUCAGAAUUGUCUCUGGAACUCAGCCAAGUCCUUCGGGUAAUCCUCUCUGCAAGCUUUACUACACAUCAUUUUUUAUCUGUAUUUUAGUUUUUCAGUAGAAGUGCAGGGAAAGAUCGAAAAAUAAUGUGUGGAAAAUUGCUAUACACGGGGGAAGGAGUGCUGAGAUUGCAGUUGACGUUAAUGUUUCCAAUAGGCUCUGGGACGUAUGACCAUUAUUAAGGGUAAUAAAUGAUGUAGUUUUUGGUGGAUUGCAGCUUUAUUUCAGCGAAAUUGGCUUGAAGCUUGAAAAACAGAACUGCCAAAAAAUGUGUGUUUGGCAUAAUGGACUUAUCCCUGAUGGGGCUUUAAUGUUUCUGUAUUUUAUUUAUUGAGAAAUUCAAAGGCAAAUCUUCAUUAUACUCUCAGCACUUAUCAAGUAUGCUACAUUGCUGAUUGAUGAACACUUGCCUAAAUAUGCCCCCAUCAAAUUGAAAAAGGUUAGAGAAAAACGUACUGUGCCAUGGUACAACAGUAAUACCCACGCUCUCAAGAAAGAAACUCGUAGUCUUGAGCACAAAUGGAGAAAAACGAACUUGGAAGUUUUUAGAAUCGCGUGGAAAAACAGUAUGUCCAGCUAUAGACAGGCUCUAAAAACUGCCAGGGCCGAGCAUAUCCACAAACUCAUAGAAAACAACCAAAACAAUCCAAGGUCUUUAUUUAGCACAGUGGCUAGAUUAACAAAUAACCAGCCACCACCCGAUCUAAAUAUUCCCUCACAGUUUAAUAGUAAUGACUUUAUGAAUUUCUUCACUGAUAAAAUAGAGAACAUCAGAAAUACAAUAACAAAUGUAGAUUCUACAGCGUCUAAUACUUUAGUUUUAUCCAUCGCACCCAAAGAUAAACUGCAGUGCUUUACAGGAAGAGCUAAAUAAACUUAUCACUGCAUCUAAACCAACAACAUGUUUAUUAGAUCCUGUACCCACUAAAUUACUGAAAGAGUUGUUACCUGUAGCAGAAAAACCGCUUCUCAAUAUUAUUAACUUGUCGUUAUCUUUAGGUCACGUCCCAAAACCAUUCAAGCUGGCGGUUAUUAAGCCUCUUAUUAAGAAACCACAACUAGAUCCUAGUGAACUGGCAAAUUACAGACCCAUUUCAAAUCUUCCAUUUAUGUCUUAAAAUUUUUGAAAAAGUUGUGUCUGCUAAAUUGUGCUCCUACCUGCCAAAAAAUGUCUCUAUGAAGAAUUUCAGUCAGGUUUCAGGCCCCAUCAUAGCACAGAAACUGCACUUGUUAAAAUUACAAAUGACUUGCUUCUUGCAUCAGACCAAGGCUGCAUCUCAUUGCUAGUUUUACUUGAUCUUAGUGCUGCGUUCGACACCAUAGAUCACGACAUACUCAUAGAUAGAUUACAAAACUAUACAGGUAUCCAAGGGCAGGCUUUAAGAUGGUUUAGAUCAUACCUGUCCGAUCGCUACCACUUUGUUUAUCUAAAUGGGGAGUCAUCUCAUUUAUCACCAGUAAAAUAUGGAGUGCCACAAGGAUCUGUCCUAGGUCCUCUGCUAUUUUCAAUAUACAUGUUGCCCCUUGGUAAUAUCAUUAGAAAAUACGGGAUUAGUUUCCACUGUUAUGCUGAUGAUACUCAACUGAGUUUAUAUCUCAACAAGACCAGGUGAAAUGUCAAAAUUAUCUAAGCUAACAGAGUGUGUUAAAAAUGUAAAAGAUUGGAUGACCAAUAAUUUUCUCCUAUUAAAUUAAGACAGAGAUAUUACUUAUUGGACCAAAAAACAUUACACAGAAUCUCGUAGAUUACAAUUUGCAACUAGACGGAUGUACUGUUACUUCCUCUACUGUCAAAAAUCUGGGUGUUAUAUUAGACAGCAACUUGUCUUUUGAAAAUCAUAUUUCCCAUGUUACAAAAACAGCAUUCUUCCAUCUUAGAAACAUUGCCAAGCUACGAAACAUGUUACCUGUUUCUGAUGCAGAAAAGCUAGUUCAUGCGUUCAUGACCUCUAGACUGGACUAUUGUAAUGCACUGCUAGGUGGUUGUCCUGCAUCCUCAAUAAAC